UGUAGCCAAUAGGAAGCGGCCGGGCGGGGCCGAACCGCCGGUGGGAGCGAGGGGCAGCGAUGGCGGCACUGGCGGUGCUAGCGCUGCUGCUGCUGGCGGCCUGCGGAGGGCCGCGCGCGGCGGGGCAGAAGCGGAAGGAGAUGGUAUUAUCAGAAAAAGUGAACCAGCUGAUGGAGUGGGCUAGUAAAAGAUCUGUAAUUCGAAUGAACGGAGACAAGUUUCGACGCUUUGUGAAGGCACCACCCAGAAAUUACUCUGUGAUUGUGAUGUUCACUGCUCUUCAGCCUCACAGACAAUGUGUCGUGUGCAAGCAGGCUGAUGAGGAAUACCAGAUUCUGGCAAACUCCUGGCGAUACUCCAGUGCAUUUACCAAUAAGAUUUUUUUUGCUAUGGUUGAUUUUGAUGAAGGCUCAGAUGUGUUUCAGAUGCUAAACAUGAAUUCUGCUCCAACCUUCAUUAAUUUUCCUGCUAAAGGGAAGCCUAAACGGGGUGACACGUACGAACUUCAGGUGCGCGGCUUUGCAGCUGAGCAGCUUGCUCGUUGGGUGGCUGACAGGACUGAUGUCAAUAUUCGUGUGAUAAGGCCACCAAACUACGCUGGACCGUUGAUGUUAGGACUGCUGCUGGCUGUCAUUGGAGGCCUUGUGUAUUUGCGUGGAAGCAAUCUGGAUUUUCUGUACAACAAAACUGGCUGGGCAUUUGCUGCUUUGUGUUUUGUAUUAGCAAUGACGUCAGGCCAGAUGUGGAACCACAUUAGAGGGCCACCCUAUGCUCAUAAGAAUCCCCAUACAGGACAAGUGAGCUAUAUCCAUGGAAGCAGCCAAGCCCAAUUUGUUGCAGAAACGCACAUUGUUCUUCUGUUUAGUAUCCUUCUUCCUGAGAUGCAAGUUGGUGGUGACAAUUUUUCUGUUAGCUUAUGUUGCUGCCUCUUUUAUGAGAGCAUUUUGUCAAGGCUCGUAUCUGUCACCUAAUGCUGAGCAGAAGCUUGUAGAGCCUUUCUGUGUUGACAGCUAUGCCUUUCUAAUGACAGUGAUCUUUAAGCUGAAUAGAAAAACGUUUACUGCUUUCUCUCUAACUUCUGCCUUGCUCAGUGACCGAACUGGAUAACAUUAAAAAUGUGGAUUCUAGUGGCAUUGUAAGGUUCUUCAGGAUAGUCCCUGUUCUUUUCUACAUGUCUUGUCUCUUCAGUCUCACUAAACUCUUGCUUUAGUGUUGAAUUCUUUCCUUUGUUACUGGUGUUUCUUCUUUAAUUUCUUUGCUUACCUUCUCUGUUUUUAAUUUUAGCUCUUUUUAAUGCUAACAAGUCAGGAUUUUUCCAUGCUGGUAUUAAGCCAUCAAGAGAGGCAAGCAGAAUCUUGCUGGCUGAGUUUUUUUCAUUUCUCAUUUGUAUAAAAGUGUUUCUUUUGAGUGUCGGUAGUACUUUGAAAUCAUCUGUACCUGGAGUCAUCUCUGAAUCAAGCCCUUCUUCCUUGUCUUGUCACCUGUAUCAGCCUGUGCCUUAUUUUAUCUUUCUUUUAUUUAAUCCUGUUUUUUGGCCUUGUGGCUCCAGUGUCCCAAAUUGUCUACAUUUUAUGGUAUACAAGCAUACAUAUCUGCUGAUUUACUACAGACACAUCAACCGGCUUCUCACUUAAACUGUCUCAUUUCAGAACUUAUUUCAAAGUACCUGUCCUCUUCAGUGCUCUGCUGUGGUUAACGAGUUCCUUCUGUUGCAAGAGCAAGGUUCUUUAACUGAGUGACUUCAGCUGCCUUCUUCCUUUUCUCUUAGAUCUUAAUAUCUAAAUUUCAGCAAGCGAUGUGUUUUUGUUGUUUUUUCUUUUUAAUUCAUCAAUAUAAAGUAAGCAAUUGAUGUUUAAGUACACUGGUGUGUGCAGGGGGGAGUUUUCAACUCUGUAUUCUUUAUCAAAGAUUUUUUUUAUUGUUAGUACUGGAAAACUCCAUUUAGAAGGGGACUUAAGUUUCUUUUAAUUGAAGAAUUAGAAAAGACUGAAAUAUUUCUAUUUGAAAGUCACCACAUUAGAUCAAAUAUUGCAUGCAUUUUAUUUAUUCUAUUAGCUGAGUAAAGAUAGCAGAAGAUAUAUCACUAUCUUCUGGUUUGUACUUGAAACUUUCUGUCUAUUUUCUUAGAUGUUGUCAGUUAUUGAGUAACUUUCAACUUGCUUCUUUCCCCCUGACCUGUUGUUGUCCAGAAAGCCGUUAAUUUUUCCACCUUAAACAGUGUCCGUAGAUGGUGGUGUUACUUUAGGAAUGGUUCUCCUCCAUGAAGCUGCUACUUCUGACCUGGAUGUGGG